GGUCAUGAGUAACAGCGACUACGGCCCCGGCCCGCUGUUCGGCAACCCUCCGUCCGUGGCGGGGUGCCCCGGGUGAAGACCAGGCGGUGAACAGCAAGGUUCAUCGCAAGCGCGGACC
rnacentral:ncRNA from 1 species